rnacentral:rRNA from 1 species
GAUGAACGCUGGCGGCGUGCCUAAUACAUGCAAGUCGAGCCAACAGACGAGGAGCUUGCUCCUCAGACGUUAGCGGCUGCCGGGUGAGUAACACGUGGAUAACCUACCUAUAAGACUGGGAUCACUUCGGGAAACCGGAGCUAAUACCGGAUAAUAUAUUGAACCGCAUGGUUCAAUAGUGCAAGGCGGUUUUGCUGUCACUUAUAGAUGGCUCCGCGCCGCAUUAGCUAGUUGGUAAGGUAACGGCUUACCAAGGCAACGAUGCGUAGCCGACCUGAGAGGGGGAUCGGCCACACUGGAACUUAGAGACGGUCCAUACGCCUACGGGAGUCAGCAGUAGGGAAUCGUCCGCAAUGGGCGAAAGCCGGACGGAGCAGUGCCGCGUGAGUGAUGAAGGUCUUCGGAUCGUAAAACUCGGUUAUUAGGGAAGAACAAAUGUGUAAGUAACUAUGCACGUCUUGACGGUACCUAAGCAGAAGGCCACGGCUAACUACGUG